UACAGAGGUCUCAAGCGUUGUUCGGAUUCAUUGGGCGUAAAGGGUGCGUAGGCGGCUCGUGAAGUCGGGUGUGAAAGCCCGGGGCUCAACCCCGGAACGGCAUCCGAUACUGGCGGGCUUGAGACCGGGAGAGGAGGGUGGAAUACCCAGUGUAGAGGUGAAAUUCGUAGAUAUUGGGUGGAACACCGGUGGCGAAAGCGGCUCUCUGGCCCGGAUCUGACGCUGAGGCGCGAAAGCGUGGGGAGCAAACAGG
rnacentral:rRNA from 1 species